GAUGAACGCUGGCGGCGUGCCUAAUACAUGCAAGUCGAGCGAACAGACGAGGAGCUUGCUCCUCUGACGUUAGCGGCGGACGGGUGAGUAACACGUGGAUAACCUACAUAUAAGACUGGGAUAACUUCGGGAAACCGGAGCUCAUACCGGAUAAUAUAUUGAACCGCAUGGUUCAAUAGUGGAAGCCGGUUUUGCUGUCACUUAUAGGUGUAUCCGAGCUGCAUUAGCAAAGUGGUAAGGUAACGGCCUACCAAGGCGACGAUGCGUAGCCGACCUGUGAGGGGGAACGGCCACACUGGAACUGGGAACAGGUCCAGACUCCUAAGGGGGGCAACAGUAGGGAAACUUUCGAAAUGGGCGAAAGCCUGACGGAGCAACGGCGCGUGAGGUAAAAAGGUUUUCGGGACUUUAAACUCUUUUAUGUGGGAAGAAAAAAUAGUAAGUUAACUACGCGCGGCUUUGAGGUACCUAAUCGGAGAAGCACGGGUAACCACGGG
rnacentral:rRNA from 1 species